CCCUGUCACUUGGCUAAAAUUUCGACAUCAGGCCAUUAGCUCACAGCACAUUAACGCCGUUUAAGUUGGUAUUAUUCUUCAGGAAAAAAAAAAAACUGAACCUUUCCCUUUUUCUCUUUCUGGGUUGAUCUUCAGAACCCACUUGUUACCUCAUCGCCGCCGCCUCCGGCUCUUACUGUCAAAGUCACUCUGGACUCCGUCACUAUUAAUCAAUCAGGUUCAUUGCCAAAUACCAGUAAUCCAACGGUUUCAUCUGAUAUAGAAACUCCAAUUUGCCAAGGCCGAAUCCGCCGGUGCUAGAAGCUCAGACUAGGUUACCGGCCCCACCCAGACCAAGCCUCUCAAGAUUCGUAUUUUUUGGAUGAUGGGUGUGCUAGAUAUGGUUCGGAACAUAACAUGAAGAAGAAGAUGAUGGGCAUUGAACAGUCGGGCCUGGGUCAGCAAAGCGGGUUUGUAGAAUUUUUUAGUAUCAAAACAAUAUAUUUGUAUUUGGUUCAGUAAUUUUCUAUUGAACCAAAAUGAAGCUAAUCAAUAUGAAUGUGCUGGAAUCUAGCUU
rnacentral:lncRNA from 1 species